rnacentral:tRNA from 1 species
GGCGUAGUAGAACAACGGUUAGUUCGGGGGGCUCUCAAUCCCCAGACCAGGGUUCGAUUCCCUGCUACGCUACCA